AUUGAACGCUGGCGGCAGGCCUAACACAUGCAAGUCGAACGAGUGGCGGACGGGUGAGUAAUGUCUGGGAAACUGCCCGAUGGAGGGGGCUAACUACUGGAAACUGUAGCUACUCCCGCAUACCAUCGGAUGUGCCCAGAUGGGAUUAGCUAGUAGGUGGGGUAACGGCUCACCUAGGCGACGAUCCCUAGCUGGUCUGAGAGGAUGACCAGCCACAUUGGAACUGAGACACGGUCCAGACUCCGACGGGAGGCAGCAGUGGGUAAUAUUGCACAAUGGGGGCAAGCCUGAUGCAGCCAUGCCGCGGGGAUGAAGAAGGCCUUGGGGUUGUAAAGUACUUUCAGCGAGGAGGCGUUACUCGCAGAAGAAGCACCGGCUAACGCCGUGCCAGCAGCCGCGGUAAUAC
rnacentral:rRNA from 1 species